rnacentral:rRNA from 1 species
UACGUAGGUGGCAAGCGUUGUCCGGAUUUAUUGGGUUUAAAGGGUGCGUAGGCGGUCUUCUAAGUCAGUUGUGAAAUACUUUAGCUUAACUGGAGAGGUGCAAUUGAUACUGGAAGACUUGAGUACUGAUGAGGUAGGCGGAAUGGACGGUGUAGCGGUGAAAUGCUUAGAUAUCGUCCAGAACACCGAUAGCGAAGGCAGCUUACUAAGGAGUAACUGACGCUGAGGCACGAAAGUGUGGGGAUCAAACAGG